rnacentral:lncRNA from 1 species
CCUCCCCGGCCACGCGAGCGGGAACAGUCUCCUCCACUCGGAGCGGCGCCAUCUUCAGCUCUGAGUCACCAGGGCUGGAAAAAUACUAGAUGCGCUACUCGUGGACUCGUGAAUACACUCGUGAAUACAGGCCAUUUCCUGUACCUACAGCCACCCGCUCCACUCAUCAUGCCUUACCUGGAUGAUGCAGAAGUCCCUGGAAACAGAAGGUCUCACCCUUCUUUAUCUUUCUCAUGGCUUUCCAAGGCUCUUUAUCAUGUUACUUUCCUGCUCAGAAUUCUUUAAUGACUUGCCUCAAUGACCAGAUACAUGUGAUCUACAGUCAGCCUUCCAGCCUCAUCAUUCCUCUUCCAUUUCCUCCCCAGAAACACUGUACUUUAUGAAGCUCCUCCAAGACUGCUCUCUCAGCAGCUGGGACCCGGUCUUGGAAUCUUAGUGUCAACUAUGAUGAAUCACCAACACUAACAAAAACAUUAUCUUUUAUUGGGUUAAAUAGUUUCUACUCUUCCCAAGACUGGGAACUGAUGUAACAGGCUUCGUGCUUUCUUCCCAACAAAUUGAUUCUGUGUGGUCAGCUCCUGUCAUGAUGAUAGAACCCCCUGUAUUGAUUUAUACUUAGGGGUAUAUCAAUGUCAGUCUAAACUUGUCCUACCUA